GAUUCUUUAGUUGAGCAGCAUAUAUCCGGGAGCAUCGAGAUCCCUGACGCGAACUGUGGAUAUGAAGGAGUAUCACAAACAUCAAGGAUACUUAGCGUUGCUGAAAAUACUCAACCUUCACACGGUCAUACAAUUUGAUGUUCGAUAAUUUAGCGGGUGGAAGAUUUCUUUAUGAUGAAAAAGUUGCAGAAAUUAUUUGAAGACUAUCAUUUGUCAGGAUUAGUUAUAUAGUGACAUUAGCUAUUUGGU